CCCAGAAGAGAAGGAAGACCAAGGAAAUUAUUUGCUCAGGAUGAGAAAUGAAGAUGGCCAUCUUGUGCUCAAACAAACAGAAGUCCUCUGAUGAUCUCAUCAGCCAAAUGAGGGGUUUUGACCAAGUGAUGCUCUUGAAAGGAGUGAAAGAAGAGGAUGUGGUAAAUUGUCUUAAAGCAGCUUGAAGAAUGGUCUGGGAUGUUAGGACUGAGAGAUCCUCUGACUGAGAGAAGCUACACCACAUCAGUGCUGGAUAUCAACCACAAACUGUUUCCAGACACGAGAGAAGAAGAUCAUGAUGGGGAGAUGAAACCAGUUUAGAUGUGAUGAUAAGGAAUCAUUAUUUUCUGAAACAGGAUCAAAUGUCUUAUAUGUAUCACAUGAUCUGUAUCACAGUUGACUGGAUGGGAUUGUGUGACUCUUUAAGUACAUUUCAUCACUCAUCUGUGUGAACUGAUUAAUAUAUAAGGUUAAUGUAUUUUUGAUUAUGAAUAAUUAUUUUCCUUGAAUCUUAUUUGUCUUGAUGCUACUUUAUCAUCUGUAUAGUCUAUGCUUCAAUAAAAUGAAAAUUGUGAAUAUUGUGUUCUGAAGAUUCUUGGUAAACACAUCAUUUUACUAGGUAGGCUCAUAUGUGUUUAUUUUAGACUUGGAAAAACUACAUAUUAAUUAUUGGGAUUAUUUUUUACUUAAGACAUACAAAUAUUUGAUCAGAUUAAUGACAUCUGGGACAUCAAUACACCAGAAAGUUAUUAUUGUUCAUAUUUAGUAACAAAUGCCAAUU
ensembl:lncRNA